AUGAGGGCUCAGGACAAGGCGUUUCCAGGACGGCUGCUGGGGCAGGACUUGCGCCGUCCGCUUCGGAGGGUUGUUUGUUCAGGUCCACUUCCGACAGAUGAUCGCUUCUGUACCGGGUCGCCGGGUCCGGGGCGGCCUCCAGAAGGGCCCCCUAACCGGCGGAAUCGGGAUCGGGGACAGCACAGGAGUCGGAGUGGGGGAUCCCGCCAUGCCAUGUAUGCACCUUUACCGCGGACAAUGUUUCGCCCCCCCGGAACCCUGGCGACCGCGACCCGACAGCCCCGGGGCUGUGCGGCUUAACCGCGCGGUGGUGUCCUCCCUCCGCGGCCCCCGCAGAAGGCGACAAGUGCCCGAGGCCGCCCCGGAUGCUUCCGCCGUGGCAUUGAGCAGCUGAGGACUAACGGCCCCGGGGACCUGGGCUGCAGGAAAAGAACAUCCUGAGAAUGGACGUGGAAGACUCUCCCUCUAAGGGCAUGACUUAUGGAAAGGCCUUAGAGAGAACCAAGUCUCAUUUACUACUAGGAAUUCACAGUGGAGCAAAAUCUCAUGUGCAAAAGGAGCAUCGGAAGGUCUUCAGUCUUGUCUCCCACCUCUGAAGUCUAUAGCAGGUUCACAUCAGAGGAGAGUUUUAUACAUGCAACCAGAGAAGAAAGACUUAAAUCAUAAAUGCCCCACAUGUUUUCCUGUUUGGACUCAGAAAAUUCUCACCUUAUAAGUACAGCCAAUGUGGAAAAAUAUAAUCCUGUAUUUUCUAGAAUUUGUAUAAAUGGAAUCUUAGAGGGGCACCUGGCUGGCUCAGUUGGUAAGGCAUGUGACUCUUGAUCUCCCGAUUGUUAGCUGGAACCCCACAGUAGGUAUAGAGAUUAUUUAAAAAUAAAAUGUUAGAAAAAAUGAAUAAAUGGAAUAUUAGUUUAUCAUUCUUCCCUGGCUUCUUUCACUUACCUUCACGUUUUCCAGAUUUUUAUUGAUGUGUUUUGCAUAUAUGUCAAUUAUUUUUAUUUUUUGCUUCUGAUGGCUUAAUAGGAUUCCAUUUUAUGGAUGCACCACGUUGUAUCUAUCUGUCCUAGUAAGAGAUAUUGGAGUUGCUUCCUUUUUUUUAAAGAUUUAUUUAUUUAUUUAUCAUGAGAGAGAGAGAGAGAGAGGCAGAGACACAGGCAGAGGGAGAAGCAAGCUCCAUGCCAGGAGCCCGACGUGGGACUCAAUCCUCUGACUCCAGGAUUAGGCCCUGGGCCGAAGGCAGGUGCUAAACCGCUGAGCCACCCAGGAAUCCUCUGCUUCCAUUUUUUAAAAUAAAUUUAUUGCUAUGAAUAUUUGCAUGCUGGUCUGCGAACAUAGGUUUCAUUUCAAUUGAUAAAACACCUAUGAAUGGGAUGCAAUUGGUAUUUAAACAUGGACACAACUAGUUUUUUAAAUCCCUAAGUUUUUAUUUUUCACUCAUCCCACUAGUAGUUAUUUAGGAAUUUUGAUUGUUCAAUGUUUAAAAAUGCUAAUUGUUUGGUAAAUCCAUUAGUUACUAAAUUGGUCAUGAAAUAAGUAUAGUAAAGUUCUUCUGCACACAUGAUAGUUCUAUAACCCCAAGUUCAAAUUCCCGCUCCAAGCAUAAUUACACUGGGGACAAGGGUCACCUGAGUCAAGAAGUUGGACCUCUGAGCCCUGGUGUCCCCAUCUGAAAUACAGAGAUAGUAGUUAACAACCAAAAGUUGAGUUCUGCUAGUCACUGCCCUUUUACCUAUAUCACUUCAAGCCUCUUGAACACCAUGGAAGCGUGUGAUAUUCGCCCUGUUAAGGGCUGCUAAGGAAACACAAAAAAAUUAUUUGUCCAAGGGCACAGAGCAUCUAGCUCUGGAACCUCUAUCUUUAGCCUCUUCACCAUCUCUGGGACUUAUCUGCAGGGUGUUAGCACUAAAAAAGCAUGACAGGUAAACCAUGAUGCUUGGCUGGGUGUUAUACUAUAUGUUGGCAAAUUGAAUUUAAAUAAAAUAACCAAAAAACCA